rnacentral:tRNA from 1 species
CACGAACUUUCCCCCAUCUACGAGCGGAUUAGUCUUUUCACGGCCCCGUCCGCUAAUAUUUUUCCACAGCGCCCCUG